GUCUAUGGCCAUACCACCCUGAACGCGCCCAAUCUCGUCUGAUCUCAGAAGCUAAGCAGGGUCGGGCGUGGUUAGUACUUGGAUGGGAGAAGUCUGAAUAUUUACCCACAGGCU
rnacentral:rRNA from 1 species